CAGCCGUAAACUAUGCGCGUUAGGUGUACUGGUGACCACGAGUCACCGGGGUGCCGAAGGGAAACCGUGAAACGUGCCGCCUGGGAAGUACGGUCGCAAGGCUGAAACUUAAAGGAAUUGGCGGGGGGCGACCACAACGGGUGGAGCCUGCGGUUUAAUUUGGACUCGACGCCGGAAAUCUCACCGGAUAGGACAGACAUAUGAUAGUCGGGCUGAAGACUCUACUUGAUGAUCUGAGAGGUGGUGCAUGGCGUCAGUGACU
rnacentral:rRNA from 1 species